rnacentral:rRNA from 1 species
AGUGGGGAAUAUUGCACAAUGGAGGAAACUCUGAUGCAGCAACGCCGCGUGGGGGAUGACACAUUUCGGUGCGUAAACUCCUUUUAUAUGAGAAGAUAAUGACGGUAUCAUAUGAAUAAGCAUCGGCUAACUCCGUGCCAGCAGCCGCGGUAAUACGGAGGAUGCAAGCGUUACUCGGAAUCACUGGGCGUAAAGAGCAUGUAGGCUGGUUAAUAAGUCAGAUGUGAAAUCCAAUAGCUUAACUAUUGAACUGCAUUUGAAACUGUUGACCUAGAGUAUGGAAGGGGCAGAUGGAAUUAGUGGUGUAGGGGUAAAAUCCGUAGAGAUCACUAGGAAUACCGAAAGCGAAGGCGAUCUGCUGGUACAUAACUGACGCUGAGAUGCGAAAGCGUGGGGAGCAAACAGGAUUAGAUACCCUGGUAGUCCACGCCCUAAACGAUGGACACUAGUCGUCGGAGAUUUAAAUCUUCGGUGAUGCACUUAACAGAUUAAGUGUCCCGCCUGGGGAGUACGGUCGCAAGAUUAAAACUCAAAGGAAUAGACGGGGACCCGCACAAGUGGUGGAGCAUGUGGUUUAAUUCGAAGAUACGCGAAAAACCUUACCUAGCCUUGACAUUGAUAGAAUCUUUCAGAGAUGAGAGAGUGCCAGUUUACUGGAGCUUGAAAACAGGUGCUGCACGGCUGUCGUCAGCUCGUGUCGUGAGAUGUUGGGUUAAGUCCCGCAACGAGCGCAACCCUCGUCAAUAGUUGCUAACAGUUCGGCUGAGCACUCUAUUGAGACUGCCUUCGUAAGGAGGAGGAAGGUGAGGACGACGUCAAGUCAUCAUGGCCCUUAUGGCUAGGGCUACACACGUGCUACAAUGGUAUAUACAAAGAGUCGCAAUACCGCGAGGUGGAGCUAAUCUCAUAAAAUAUAUCUCAGUUCGGAUUGUUCUCUGCAACUCGAGAACAUGAAGCUGGAAUCACUAGUAAUCGUAGAUCAGAAUGCUACGGUGAAUACGU